rnacentral:hammerhead_ribozyme from 1 species
AUCCAGUUGACGAGUCCGAAGUAGGACGAAGCGCGCGUCCUGGAU